rnacentral:ncRNA from 1 species
CUGAAAACAAAGAGAAAGAAGAGUAAUUCAAUUUGAAUUUACAGCGAAUCCCGUUAGGUGUGAGGGGAGAAAGGCAAAAUUGAAUGAAAAUCACUUUCGAGUUCUAUUUCUUAACUUUUAGUAAGAAGUAGUGGGAGCACCCGUUAUAGUGCCGGCGUAUCGCCAAUAUUGAUUGGCCGCACGUCAAAGGUAUUGUUAGUAAUAACAAUAUAAAUAAAGGGUGGUACCACGCUAGAGCGUCCCUCAA